GAACGCUGGCGGCAUGCUUUACACAUGCAAGUCGAACGGUAACAGGUUAAGCUGACGAGUGGCGAACGGGUGAGUAAUGCAUCGGAACGUGCCCGGUCGUGGGGGAUAACGCAGCGAAAGCUGCGCUAAUACCGCAUACGAUCUGAGGAUGAAAGCGGGGGACCGUAAGGCCUCGCGCGAUCGGAGCGGCCGAUGUCAGAUUAGGUAGUUGGUGGGGUAAAAGCCUACCAAGCCGAAGAUCCUUAGCUGGUCUGAGAGGAUGAUCAGCCACACUGGGACUGAGACACGGCCCAGACGCUUUCGAGCGGCAGCAGUGAGGAAUUUUGGACAAUGGGCGCAAGCCUGAUCCAGCCAUGCCGCGUGCAGGAUGACGGUCCUAUGGAUUGUAAACUGCUUUUGUACAGGAAGAAACACUCCCUCGUGAGGGAGCUUGACGGUACUGUAAGAAUAAGGAUCGGCUAACUCCGUG
rnacentral:rRNA from 1 species